AGAGCGAACGCUGGCGGCAGGCCUAACACAUGCAAGUCGAACGGACCCUUCGGGGUUAGUGGCGGACGGGUGAGUAACACGUGGGAACGUGCCUUUUGGUUCGGAAUAGCUCCUGGAAACGGGUGGUAAUGCCGAAUGUGCCCUUCGGGGGAAAGAUUUAUCGCCAUUAGAGCGGCCCGCGUCUGAUUAGCUAGUUGGUAAGGUAAUGGCUUACCAAGGCGACGAUCAGUAGCUGGUCUGAGAGGAUGACCAGCCACAUUGGGACUGAGACACGGCCCAAACUCCUACGGGAGGCAGCAGUGGGGAAUCUUGCGCAAUGGGCGAAAGCCUGACGCAGCCAUGCCGCGUGAAUGAUGAAGGUCUUAGGAUUAGUAAAAUUCUUUACACCGGGACGAUAAUGACGGUACCCGGAGAAGAAGCCCGCUAACUUCGCGCCAGCAGCCG
rnacentral:rRNA from 1 species